AAUAUUACACAAUGGAGGAAACUCUGAUGCAGCGACGCCGCGUGAACGGUGAAGGCCUUCGGGUCGUAACGUUCUGUCCUAGGGGACGAUAAUGAGGGUUACUUAGGAGCAAUCCCCGGCUACCGACGUGCCAGCAGCCGCGGUAAUACGUAGGGGGCACGCGUUAUCCGGAAUCAUUGGGCGUAAAGGGUGCGUGGGCGGCCCUAGAGGUCAGAGGUCAAAGGCUACGGCUCAACCGUAGUAAGCCUUUGAAACUGUAGGGCUUGAGUACAGGAGAGGAGGGUGGAAUUCCUAGUGUAGCGGUGAAAUGCGUAGAUAUUAGGAGGAACACCAGUGGCGAAGGCGACUCUCUGGACUGCAACUGACGCUGAGGCACGAAAGCGUGGGGAGCAAACAGG
rnacentral:rRNA from 1 species